rnacentral:rRNA from 1 species
GACGAACGCUGGCUGCGUGCUUAACACAUGCAAGUCGAACGCUGAAACCCUGGUGCUUGCACCGGGGUGGAUGAGUGGCGAACGGGUGAGUAACACGUGAGUAACCUGCCCCCGACUUCGGGAUAAGCCCGAGAAACUGGGUCUAAUACCGGAUAUGAGCGCCCCUCGCAUGAGGGAUGCUGGUAAGUCUUUUCGGUUGGGGAUGGGCUCGCGGCCUAUCAGUUUGUUGGUGAGGUAAUGGCUCACCAAGACGACGACGGGUAGCCGGCCUGAGAGGGCGACCGGCCACACUGGGACUGAGACACGGCCCAGACUCCUACGGGAGGCAGCAGUGGGGAAUAUUGCACAAUGGGGGAAACCCUGAUGCAGCGACGCAGCGUGCGGGAUGACGGCCUUCGGGUUGUAAACCGCUUUCAGCAGGGAAGAAGCCCCCUGGGGUGACGGUACCUGCAGAAGAAGUACCGGCUAACUACGUGCCAGCCGCCGCCGUAA